AGCCUAAGGAAGGUAGUGAGCUUGUCUAGACUGAAAUAAGCAUUGGUCACCUGUACAUGGCACCAGCUCUCAUAGUGAGAUUCAGAUGAUUUUGGUAAAUCUGGUAUUUGGAUAACUAACAGAUAUUCUCAGCUCUGAUUUCCUUCAAGAUGGUGGUUGUAAAUAUUGGUAUAGAGACAGAAUGUUUGAAAUACAUUAAUAUUGGGGAAUUUGUAGUUCAAUUUUGCUGUAGGUAUUGCAUCUCCAUCUAAAGAAUCAGCCUUUUAAUUAUUUAAGACUGUAGCUAUUUUGAGAUUUAGUGUGAGGUGUUCCAUAGAUAGAAUCAUCUUUUGAUUUGCAUUCAGAAAAUAAGAGAAUUUUCCCUUUUCUGUGUAGAGGAGAGAAAACAUAAGGGCUAAAUAUAAUUGUCCGGAUCAUGAAUUAAGUCUAAACUUCUGGUGUCUUGGGAUUCUCAGGUUCACAAGUGACCAGCAGGCACCAGGGCAUUUCAGGUCAGUCUUCAGAUGUCUCUGAAAUAUGCUGAAAAAGUACAAAUUCGGUGUUAGAAUUUGGAAUGGCUCGUUUAAUUUCUAUGAAUUGUGUUGCACGGCUGCUUGGGCUGGGUAGCUAUAAGGGUUCAUCUAACAUGGGAAUCGGUGCUCAGAGUGAAAACCUUUCGCGACUCAAGAUUUGUUUAGGUCUGGUGUGGCAAGGGAGGUAGAAAUGCCACCGCAGAGCAGGGUCCCUGCCAUGCCAGACCUGAGCAGAGUCCCCUGGGCUAGAAAACAGAGUCAUGGGAAUGGCACUGGCAUUCUAUUCUUUUGUCUUGUAUGAACCACUGACUGCUGCUGGUCAGAAGUUUUCUGACAAAAUGAGUCAAUUCACUGGGCUGGAAUUGUUGCCAGGAAAGAUUCAGCUCGGCUGAGUCUCCUGCGUAGAGGUUUUUUUGGGUUUAAAAAAAAAAAGCCCCUUUGACAGUGCUGCUUUCACUCCGAUAAAGGAGGUCGAAAUCUGAACAGAACAUUUCAAAUGCACGGAAAGCAAAGCUGCUCUGUCCAGCCAGUCUGUCCUCCUGCGUAACGCUGACUCUGUGGACGUUUCUCCCUCCAAAUUUUCAACUCCUUUUGUGGAAGAAGUUUUGAAAGCAGAGCUGGCAACUUGAGAGCAGGAGUUGCAAAGCUGGAGCUUGCAAAACGGGUGGUGUCCUUUAUGGGCACACAUACCAGCUCCAGAAGACUGUUCUGUGAAUACUCGUUUCCCUCUUGUUACAAAGAUGAGAUGAAGACACACUCCACCUCAGCUUUCCAACAAGCAGGAACACAUAAUGUAGCACUGGAAAAACCUCAGCUGGACUCCUCUGGUGCUGCAGUUCAAGAGGACGUGGACCAGUCGGAAAAAGGCCAAAGAGGAGCAUCGAGUGUAAUUAGAGGUCUUGGAUAUGACCGGGGAGCUGCAGUUUCCAAUCGCAGUUCCCUGGGGCACCUGGGUGCUAAUGCUGCCCAUGUGUGCUGGCUCUCCCUGGAGUGACUGUUUGCAAACUCAGCUCUGUGGCCGGGGAAAUAGCUGCCUUCCUUUCAUCAGCAAUGCAUCAGAAAUGAGCAGAGUCCUUUUACCCUCUGUACUGGUGAACCACAAGAGUGAAAAUUUGAAACUAAGACUACUUUGGAAGUUUCUUGUCUAAGGUAAAGUAGCAUGGAACAACCCAAGAUCUCUCUCAGAGGUAUCAUUGUAUGGAUAUAUAACAUGAAAAUAAUAUAUUCCUGAUGAAGGAACAGGAGACAAACAUCACUAUAACAGUUUAGAAGCAGAGUAACUACAUCAAUUACAUAAGCAACCAAUCAGUUUUCUUUUGUAGAUUUGUCUUCAUGAAAUACCCAGUUAUGUUAAAUUCUGCAGGAUGGUGUCAUUCCUUUUUGUCUGCAGAUUUUUUGUGAGCAUUUAUCUUACUUCAGGAAGAUGCAAAGGAGAGCAUUUCUCUCCUGUACUAAAGAUCUAUUUCAGAUUUAUAUUCCCCAAAUACAAUACUAUCUGCCUAAUUGCUCUCUUCUCUUUAAUUUCCCCUUGUAAAAUCUUAUUAAUUUGCCAGUUUACUGGUGUGUACACAGAAAUAAUCAUACAUACACAUUCAAACCAAAAACACUGCACAGUGAUGGGUAAACAGGACAAAAUUUCCUUUUGCAUAACUUCUGCACUGGUUCUAGUUUUUUUCGCAAAACACUAAACAUUAGUUUUAAGUCAAGCAUUCUUUUAAAUGCUGAAUCAGAGCUCUUAUUCUUACAGUAAAGACAUAACUGGUUUCCCUUGUUUUGAUGUAUUUGGUCUGAAGUUGCUCGUUCUUUAGGGAGUGCACAGUAAAGCACGAAAAGGUCUAUUCCAUAGAAUAAUAGUUUUGUUUAAAUCACAUCUAGCUAACUUGGCAUUUUAGCUAAUAUUCAGUUAACUUGUCCAAUCAUCAAUCAAAGAGAUUAUGUACUAGAACUGAGACCACAAACAUUUGAAAAACAUAGAUGGUAUCAUUUUUCAAACCCUUAUAGUUUUCUUUUAUUCCAAGAUCCCUUCAACAUGCAGGAUCAAUGAAAACUACUACAUAUUCCAAGCAGCUUUCAGAAUGGGAGCUCUGAAGGAUUUCAGCUGGUGACUGAGGGACUUGCUGCACUUCAAAGGGCUGAAAAGGGCCAGGUUUGGCGUUUUUUUAUCCCUCUCUCUAGAUAUAUGUAGCAAGUACAAAAUGCAACAUACUCAUAAAAAGAGAAAACCCAGACACUACAUAAUUACAACACUUUUUCAGGAGUUGCAAAGUCUGCAAAUUUCCAGCCACUAGUAUUCCUCUCCCCUUUGGCUAAGGCGAGUUAGAGACUGUCCAAGAAACACAAAGCACAUACCCAAAUAUAAGCUAUCCACAUAGACCAUCUUUUAUGCUCUACCCUGUGUUUCAAAGAAGCUGUAGUAUGAUUGACAAGCUGCUGAAUUUCACAUGUUCGCAAAAUUUAAAAAGCACAGUCCUGGAGGAGGGACAUAAUCUCACCUCAUUAAAUUCAUUUUUGAGACCACUCCAUGGCCUGCUACUCACUGCUCCAGUGUGUUUAACUCAAUAGACAGCCUUUCACACACUUGAACGAUGGGGAAAAAAUAAAAUAUGAAUGUUUUCCUUUUUCUCUAUUACAAGUUAUGAAAUUAAAAUGGUUUUAGGUAUGCUGCAUGAACUUCCAAGAAUAUAAUUUGGAAAAACAUAUUUAAGCCUCAGUGUUGGUGAAGGUAAAUAACUGUGUGAAAAUAAAUGGAAUAUUAUGUUUCAACUUUUCCUUCUUAGUCUUUCUUGCUAAUAUUUUUUCCUGAUCUUCCUUACAUAAAACAACGUAUAGCGGAAUGUUGAUAUUUCACGGAAUAUAUCAAUGGGUUUUCCCCACUUUGGGAAAUAAAUAUACACACCUGGAAUUUAACUGCAACCUCAGGAGCCCCAGGCUUCCCCAAGUCAAGUCCUCUUGUUCAAAUUCCCACUUCCCACUGUGCUUGCUGCAAGUUCUACCUUCUGCAGCCAGUCAACAUGGGUUGCGGUGUUGGGGUUUUGGGGUGGUUUUGGCUUUUGUUGCAAACACCUGCUUUGCCACAACACUGCAAACCAGCGCACACUCAGCAUACCUGUCUGGGACCAUCCUUAAUUUUGGUAUAACAUAUUACAUCCACCCUGUGGAGAACAUCCAAGGAACAUCAACUCAUCUGCUCUUCCUCCCAGCCAGAUCCCUGCAGUGGAGACAUCUGGCCUCACAGCUCAAGCUCCAUGGAGUUGAGGGACACAAAAGCCAAAUACAAAAUGCUUCUGUAAGUAACCUGCCAGAGAAAUCUUUUCUCUGUGUGAAAACUAUCAGUUAUCUAACGUACCGGGAAUUUAUCCUUUCCCAGACUCUGCGGUGUAUUCAGGAGUCAACACUGCCUGCGAACUGAAGAGAUGUUUAACCUGUAUCAUUUGAUUCGCUAUGAUUGCACAAUUUCAAGGAAACAGAACUGUUCACUAAUACUCUCUGGGCAGAGACUAAAACUGAGAAAUGGUUCAAGCAAAGCAGCUUCUUAGGCUUUUUUUUUUGAUGUUUGCCAAAUUGUAUAAAAUAAAUAAAUAAUAUCUAUAUAUAUAAAAUAAAGGCAAGACAAAACCAAACCAACAACAACAAAACCCAAACAAAGCCAGAAAGUGGUAAAUAUAGUUAAAUCCCACCUGGGAAGGCUAUAAACUCUGUCUUCAAAGUUCCAGUUCUGUCCCAUGACUCUGCUUGCAGUGACAAGUGCAGCCAACAUCCUCAGAGGUUUGGGGCUGCUUUUCUUUUUAAUCAUGUGGGCUGGUCCACAAAGGCUUAUAAAUCCUACCUUAUGUUUCAGAGAAGAAAGGCUCCAAGUUCCCAGCCCUGCAGUGACAUCUUGAUGCAGCCAAGAGCUGAGUCUUUGAGCUACUGCAGGAAUAACCUUCCUCCCACGACAUUUGCCAAUGUACUCUAUAAUGACACUGUGGUAAAUAUGCCAAAAGCAUUGUGCACAGCUCCAAGUAUUACUAAUCUUGGGAAACGUAUGGGACGCAGCAGCAGUUGGUAUCUGAGAGUGGGAUAAAAAAAAAAAAAUCCAGUGCAGCUUGGAAAGUUAUUGCUAUUAAAAAUGUGCCUUCGCUUCAUGUCUUAAAAUCCUCUUUUUAAUUUGAAACAUUUUAUCGUUUGGCUGAGCUCGAAUUUUUUACCUAUUCUGAAUAGCAUUAAGAAAAAAAAAUCUGUUCACAUAUGUACACAUUCAUUUGUAUGGUGACAUCUGUGCCAUGACUAUGGAAAACAAAUGGAUCCUUCUCUCUUCCCCCCUAACCCACACUUCAUUUAUUCCAUGUGUCAUGUGCAGGGAUUUCCAGCGGGCACUCUGUCACCUUUUUUGAUGUAUGGUGUCCAAAACAGAUACACACUAUAGAAGCCUUAACUCCAUCAGAUGGAGCAGAAGGACAACUCCAUCUCUUAAGUUAAGUCUUCUCUUUGGACUCAGCUGAAAGCAACAUUUGCCUUGAUGAUCCCAAACCAGCCUGCCAGCAUAAAAAAAAAACCACCUCAAUUCUUAUAUUUUUAUAAUUUUUCCUAUUUGUCAAAGUCAUUUAGAAUUGUAACCUGGGUCCUUCAACACAUUUCCAGUCAAGCCCUGGUUGGUGUCAUCUGCAAAUUUAAUGUGGCUGUUCCUUUCAACCAUAGUCAUGGAUGAAAAUAAGGAACAGUGUUGCAUAAAACACAGAUCUCUGCAAAGUUUAUCUAUCUAUCUUGAUGGUAAACCAUUACAGCUACACUUUGACUAUUUUUUUAAAGAUGACACGUUUCUUUAGGACAUUCACAAAUAUGUGCAACAGGGUCAAUUGUUUUAUGCUGAGAAUAUGAAUAUGAGCACUUAAGAUGAAAUAUGCCAAAGAAAAUGAUGAAAAAUAAUCAAAGAACAAACUUCCAUACUUAUAGCACAAGCCAAACCACUGUCUUUACAGCACUGUGUAAACCUUUCAAAAUAUUAGGAAUGCAUAAUCUCCAUGAACAGAAAGAAGCAGAAAUGACUAAAAUGAAGCAAUUUAUUUUCAGCAAUAAAGCCGUGCAGAAUGGGGAGAAACUUGCAGCAUUUACACACCAGCUCAAGGCUGUAUGCAUAGUAAAUAUGUUUACUACUAGCGAAGAGCUAAUAAAGCUGCUGACAAUCAUACUGCCUUUCCACAGCUGAGGAUCAGACGAUUACUUAGACCAGGCGCAUAUAGUAAGUUGCAAAGCCCAGCUUAUAUGGCGACUUCCUCAUCAUUUUAGCAUAGAAUUUCCAUGAGCCUUUUUAAUCUAUGCUUUACAUGUUGAUAAUUGUGGUGGGGCGGAAGGGAGUUUCAGAGAGAUCUUAGAGCUUAAUUAAAAUAUACUGGUGCUACUUACAGUCCUUGCAGUAGCUGCAAUAGAUCUGAGGUGUGAUUUCUAACACUUAUGUCUGACAUAUACACAUAAACAACUUUUAAUUCAUAUUUGUAAGAAAAGCGGUGAAGAACAACUUCUCCUGACCGAUCCCAGAGAUCAUCACAGCCAGGUAAGUACAACAGCAGUAGAAGAGAGACAAGUAAUAGUUCUACACUAAAAUAAGCAGCAUUUACAAAGAUUUCGUUCUCCUCACCCCCAGAUGAAACUGUUACAUGCUGUCCAAUAUUUACACUUUGACAAAUUAUCAGGUCCACAAUUCUUUGGAAAAGGGACAGGAAAGCAUACAUCAUAAAACAAAAAAAAAAAAAUAAAAAGAUUCUAUGAUGUAAAGAUAUUUAAGUUCUUCCACUUAACAAUAUUUUUUUAAAAGUCCAAAUGAAAGUCUUGGGAAAUCAUGUGCCCCACAGGGCAUGUUAUUCUCCCAUAUACCGAAAACCAGGAACUUUAUUCCCAUUUUUAAUCCACAUCCCCUUCAGCCUGAAAAAUCUAUCAAGAAUCUGCACUAGAACAGGGGCCAUACUCUUUCCCACUGGGAAAAGUACUUGAUCCCACUCAUGUUCUUCAUUACUUUAUCAUGUCGGCAUAGCACGUGAUUUUUUUCCCACUGUGUAACCAGAGUUAACAUGAUUUCCUUUGUACUAUAGUAGAAAUCUAAGAAAAUAACCUCUAAAAGCUGAAGGGGUGAGAAAAAUAGGAUUGAGCCGUUAGUGCCUGGGCAGCCUUGAGUCUCACGUGCACAGCACAGUUGCAGUUGCCAAAACAAAAAUAUUUAUGUUUACCAAUGUAGCUAAAGAAUUCCUAAGGGAUGAAAACAAACAUCUUGUAGAACUGUUUUGCGUAUUUAUUGAUCAUUUACAUUAGGACUAAUAAUGCCCCAGAUCUACGUGCUUUUCAAAAAGGUAAGAAUGAACUGCUUUUGGAGAAUUAAUGACUCACCACCUCUUUCCAUUUCAGAAAAAUAAUUUGGAAAAACAAAAAAAAAAGGAAAGAAUCCCAUUUCUCAAUCAUAUCAGGUUAGCCAUAAAAAGCCAUCUACAUUAGAGUUCGUACAAAAUGAGAAGAUGGGCUUUGCCCAGUUAAUGCAGACAGUGCGCAUGCAAACAUGCACUUGGAAUUAUGCAGCAUUUACUGUGCAGACUGGGACAGUGCUGGUCAAAACCGCCUAUAAAGGAGUAACAAGGGAAAGAAAGAAUAGAUAUUAUAGAUUAACUUAAUUCAUCUUGUCUACCAAUGUGUAUUGUAAUGUUUGUUGAAAGCCAAAUGCAUUUUUGCUAUAUUGUGGAUUAUGUAUAUAGCAGCCUAACUCAUGGGAUAAGUUCUUAUUAAUUAUUACUACAGGAUAAAUUGUUUUACUAAAAUAACUAGUUUUAACUUCUUCCUUUUAUAAUCUCUCAGGACUUAGUAGAGAAACUGAAAGCACCCUUGAUGCUGUUAACAUCGCAAUUCAAAAUUUGGUGGAUCUGAAUAUAUAUACAAUAUGUGUAUGUAUAUAUAUAUAUGUAUAUAUAUAUAAUAACAUAUUACCAUAUUUUAGAGGUCCAUCAUCAUCUGAAACCUUUAACCUUAGCUUAAAACCUUAACCUAACCUAAAGUUAAAAAUAUUAAUUAUGCAAGUAGCACCAGGUACUACUUCUAUUGAAUCUUCUCCACCUAAUCAUCAUUGUGACAAUAUUUAGUUGGGUUUUUUUUGGGAUUUUUGAAUUUUUUUUCUCCCCAGGGUCCUGUUGAGAUGGUAAAUCACUCCUGUGACAUUUGUCGGGGAAAACACAAGGACACAGGAGGGGAAAAAAAGAGUAUCUUUGAGCCAUCAGAACUGGAGAAGUAGAAGACAUUUCUUUUGCUGCUCUUUUGGAAGUAUCUUGUAUGCUGGUUGAAAUGAGCCUCGAUGGACGCUAACAGCGGACUUUGCACACGCCACGGGGAGGAUCUGGUACUGUUUUUAAAAGGGGAAACUUGAUAUAUUUCCAUGGAGCUAUUUAUAGUCACUUCCACCAUACAGUGAAAACCUGACCUCCAGGUUUGACACAUGCCUGACAUCUCAUUUUUUUUUUUAAUCAGAAAUGAUGAUGAAAAACCAUCAUAAAAGCAACAUGAAGAGCACACAAUGUCUUGCAAAAACAAAGAAUUUUUAAAAAGCCACAGCUGUAAUAACGUCAGCAGUGAAGUUUGCUCUUACAUAUAUGUAUUUGUUGAACCAGCACGCAGGGCUGGCAUUUCACAUCGCCGUCUGUAACCCUACACUGCUGGGAUAUGAUUAGCUACUUAAGGGCAUGUAAUUUGCAGUGUGUAACUACACUGACCAGAAGGAACCAAUUCUAAACUUACCCUGAUACACAAUGAGAAACAGGUCUUAAACCAGCCAGCAAGCAAACUUAUGUGCUUUAUUACUGCAGCAUUUUUUUGCCACUGAAACAUGAGAAAAGCUGGGGAAAACUGUAAAAACAAGCCAGAUCUUCUCUGGGAAUAUGAGGAAGAGUAGCACGGUGCUACUAAACAAAGCCCAAGUUAAUGCAGGCUGUUAUGUAGUAUAAUUUUUAUAAACAUAUUUCUUCAGAUCUACCACAGAAAACAGAAUUUAGAAAAGCGUUGCUCAAAGAAUGAAACAUAUCUUUGGUGUAUAUUUUACCUAGAUGGCUUCACUGGACAUGAGCAGUAGCAGAGGGGAGAACUGGCCUCCAAAACAAGAAUUGUAUAAUAUUUAGAUGCUGAGAGUAAGCACUGCAUAAAUGUGUGUGUACAAAGGCAAAUGACAGCAAGUUAGGCUUCAUAAUGGGGGAAAAAGUAGCAUUACAUCUGAAAUACUGAAAUCUCAGUUAUUGAUACUUUUGCUAAUAAACAUAAACAGAGAUC